rnacentral:rRNA from 1 species
AUUGAACGCUGGCGGCAUGCCUUACACAUGCAAGUCGAACGGCAGCACGGGAGCAAUCCUGGUGGCGAGUGGCGAACGGGUGAGUAAAGUAUCGGAACGUGCCCAGUCGUGGGGGAUAACGUAGCGAAAGUUACGCUAAUACCGCAUACGAUCUAUGGAUGAAAGCGGGGGAUCGCAAGACCUCGCGCGAUUGGAGCGGCCGAUAUCAGAUUAGGUAGUUGGUGGGGUAAAGGCUCACCAAGCCGACGAUCUGUAGCUGGUCUGAGAGGACGACCAGCCACACUGGGACUGAGACACGGCCCAGACUCCUACGGGAGGCAGCAGUGGGGAAUUUUGGACAAUGGGCGCAAGCCUGAUCCAGCCAUGCCGCGUGCAGGAUGAAGGCCUUCGGGUUGUAAACUGCUUUUGUACGGAACGAAAAGGUUUGACUUAAUACGUUGGACUCAUGACGGUACCGUAAGAAUAAGCACCGACUAACUACGUGCCAGCAGCCGCAGUAA